rnacentral:lncRNA from 12 species
ACCCAUACACAUAAAAUGAACACUUUUUAAAUGUAUUUAUCAGUUUUUUUGCACAAAAGUUCUGGCAGAUUAUACAAAUGAUUUUCCUCUGGGUGAUGGAUUUAGGGUGAAUUAACUCAUUUUUUUCUGUUUUUUUUUUUUUUGUUGUUUCUUUCUCGUUUUGCAUCAACUUUUAUCAGUCCAUGCAACUUCAAUGCCCUUGAUGAAGAAUGCAU